GUCUCCAUUCCCGAGUCUGCUCUGAUCCAAGAAGAAUCGUUGAUUUUGCAGUCUGUUCAUCUUUUUGCUUGUUAGGACAGAGUGGAGGAUCAGAGCAAGCAUGAAGUGCUUGGUUGAAGUGAAGAAUGCGAUGGGAACUAAGAGAAAGUCUUGCUACAGUCACCAGGCUGUCCAGACAGGAUCCUGGCCUCUGUUAAACCUCUGUCUUUACAACCUUAGAAAGGCAACAUCCAUAAUGAAGGAACUACCUUCGCUCAGGCUCUAUCCUCUGUGUGGCAGUAUCUAUAAAAUGGGUAUAUUGCUAGUCAGUAAAGCUGCUUGGGGCAUCCCUGGUGGUUCAGUGGUAAAGAAUUCAUCUGCUAAUGCAGGAGUUGCAGGUUCAGUCCUGGGUUGGGAAGAUCCACUGGAGAAGGAAAUGGCAGCCCACUCCAGUAUUCUUGCCUGCAAAAUCCCAUGGACAGAGGAGCCUGGCGGGCUACAUCCAUGGGGUCGCAGAAGGGUUGACAUAGACAUGACUUAGAGAUGAAACAACAGAUCUUCUCAGAGUAUUUUCUCUGAGUAUAUGAUGUGUAAUUAUUUUUCUCCAUCAACCCCAAGUAGGUAUCAAGUGCCAGUUCUUUCUUUCUCUAUCUCACUUUUAAAUGAGUGAAUGAAUGAAUUUUUGGCUGCUCUGGUCUUUGUUGC